rnacentral:tRNA from 1 species
GGCCUAGUGGCGAAGGGGUAACGCAGCUGUCUGCAAAACAGUUAUACGCCGGUUCGAGUCCGACCUAGGCCU